CGCGGUAAUACGUAGGUGGCAAGCGUUAUCCGGAAUUAUUGGGCGUAAAGCGCGCGUAGGCGGUUUUUUAAGUCUGAUGUGAAAGCCCACGGCUCAACCGUGGAGGGUCAUUGGAAACUGGAAAACUUGAGUGCAGAAGAGGAAAGUGGAAUUCCAUGUGUAGCGGUGAAAUGCGCAGAGAUAUGGAGGAACACCAGUGGCGAAGGCGACUUUCUGGUCUGUAACUGACGCUGAUGUGCGAAAGCGUGGGGAUCAAACAG
rnacentral:rRNA from 1 species